AAAUAAUCAUGUAACUGGCGGAAAUGGAGAUUACCAUAGGGAGCAUGAUUUAAGAAUGCUAUCGACCGCCUGGGUAAAUAAU
rnacentral:ncRNA from 2 species